AGGCAGUCUCCUUGGCUAAC
rnacentral:miRNA from 1 species